UGAGGAAUAUUGGUCAAUGGGCGAGAGCCUGAACCAGCCAAGUAGCGUGCAGGAUGACGGCCCUAUGGGUUGUAAACUGCUUUUAUAAGGGAAUAAAGUGAGCCUCGUGAGGCUUUUUGCAUGUACCUUAUGAAUAAGGACCGGCUAAUUCCGUGCCAGCAGCCGCGGUAAUACGGAAGGUCCGGGCGUUAUCCGGAUUUAUUGGGUUUAAAGGGAGCGUAGGCCGGAAAUUAAGCGUGUUGUGAAAUGCAGUCGCUCAACGUCUGCACUGCAGCGCGAACUGCCCAGCUUGAGUGCGCGCAACGUUGGCGGAAUUCGCCGUGUAGCGGUGAAAUGCUUAGAUAUGGCGAAGAACUCCGAUUGCGAAGGCAGCUGACGGGUGCGUAACUGACGCUCAUGCUCGAAAGUGCGGGUAUCGAACA
rnacentral:rRNA from 1 species